CAACAACCUGGAUGGACCUAGAUGGAGGAUAUUGUGCUGAAUGCUCAUGCAAAGAAGACUUCUGUGGAACAUGAGUAUAAUGCUGACGUGGACCGUUUGGCAGCCAUAGCUGAAGUAGAACGUUCUACUCCCAUCAGUGACGAGACCUUAGCUCUUGCACGAUGGAUUCAUCAAAAAACAGGACAUGCUGGCCCCGCCACUAUGCACAGAUAAUUUUCUGCUGGACUCUGCUGAUAUGGACGCCUCUGCUGGCGGAGGCAUGGACCCCUGGGACCCAGCUGCAUCCAUACAAUGGAACCAGCCCCAUAACUCUCCAUUGGAGUUGGCUAAAUGAUGCCAAACCUCGUUCACAAGACAGCUUCAAUUGUCCUACGAAUCAAUGGUGUGUCAUUGUCAAUGGUACAGUUACAGGCAACAACCUUACUGCAUGGAUGGACGGCCACGAAAACCCAUAUCGAAUGGCCGUCACUGGUUCUUCACCUAUAUUUAUUAAUUUUUCUUCUGCAGUGAAUAUUUCCUGCUGUACUGCUAAUCUCACCCUUUGGCAUAAUCGAUAUCGCCACCUGUGUGAAGCAGUUAAAAUGUAUUACCUCCAAUUUAGCCACCAUGAACUUUACUGUAGAAGCCUCUCAAUUUAUUAUUUGUAGUAAUACAAAUUAAACUGAAAUUAAAAAUUGCACCAUUUGGGGCGACUAUGUAUGGAUUUCUGUGCAGAAGCCCCCUCAGAAUGCUACUCCUCAAAUAGUGUGUACACCGUGCACUUGCACUAAUGUUUCUAUUGCAGCACCCCAGAAAUUGAUUCAUUUUAACAUAUCCUUUCCCCCUUUACCUAAAUGUAAUAGAAGAUGCUGUGCUUGGUAUGAUACUUUGUUGAGUGGUCUUGGUUCUGGAUUUGGUAUAGCUAAUUCUAUAGAUUUAGAAGCGUUAGCCUCUUGCCUAUGAAAUACUGGAUCAGAUGUGUCCCAAGCAGUGACCCUGAAUGCUCAAUGGCUACUCACAACUGUCACUCCUCAUGUUAAGACCCUGCAAUAUCAACAAGAAAUGUUGCAAAUUUUUAAUGCCUCAAAUAUUAAUCAAUUCAAGCUUGAUACUAAUAUUAGUUUCCUAUUCAAUUGGACAAAAUGUUCACUGCAACUGUUAUAUGUUUUAAUUCAGAAAGAAAAUGCACAAUGUAUAUUGACACAGGGGGGAUACUAGCACUUUGAGGUCAAUGUUUCCUAUACCCCAUAGUUCUAGAAUAGCUACUAAUAAACCCAAUGUAACUUGUACUUCCUUGUGGUACAUUGGCACCAUAACAUGUUAUCUCCCCAAGACGACCAAGAUGUUAUGCUCCUUUCACACCUUACCCAUUAUCAAAAGAAACUAUUUCUUGCAACCCCAAAUAGAGGGUACAUUUAUAGAUUCUAGUAAUGUUACUUAUAAACUUACUGAUUGUGUACCUACAGAUAGAGGGCCGACUUGUAAUGGCUUACUCCGAAUAAUGGAGCCUUGUUUGUUAACUCAUUCUAUUAACCUGUGUAUUCUUACUGUAUAUCCCUUGGUUAACUUUUCUGUUCUGUAUGAGGUUGAGCCUCAACAUGUUUGCUUUGCUAGUUAAAACACUGCUGAGCUACUUGCUAUGGGACUGUCUUCUCCAUAUUCAGGAUGUCUGCAGCAUCUUGAAGUGCUCCACUGGAACGGUGAUGUCUUCUACUUGGUUCCCAAUCUAGAGGAUGAUGAAACUCUUACUUGGAUCCCUUGCAGCUUACGCCCUCCAACUACUUAUUUGCAUCUUGCAUUGGCUCAAGUUCUACAGAACUCUCAACUAUUGGCUCAACAUUUACUAAAUAGCACAUGAACCCUUGCUGAACAUAGGUUGGCUACCACAAUUGUGGCCAACCAACUACAAGGACUUUCACAUGUUAUAGCGCGAGAUUCAAAUCAUAAUUGGUAUGACUUCUUAUUUGGAAGCACUAAGGCUCAUAAGUAUUUCACUGCUAUAUUUACUCCUGUAAUAAUAAUCAUUGUGGUAUUAAUCCUCUUAUGCUUAUGUAACUGUUGGAUGUAUCGCCAUAUGCAAACUAUAUAUACUACCUUCAUGCUGCGUCAUGUACAAUCUAAUUAGGCCUAUUCCCCCAAGCAACCCUACGGCCGAAUUGUAUGAGAAUUUAGAAGGCAAAAGGCCUGCCUAGGGUCAUAUGAUUGGAUUCAUGGCUUAGGUAUGCACUUACUCUCUGGAGGAUUGGCUACCCUCCAGGGAUGUAAGGGACCAGAUGUGGAGCUUGCCCAAGGUCUUCAAGACUGGGCUGAGCUCCAAGGACGAGUCCUAAUCAGUGCCACGGGCUAGCCCCGGCUCCUGGCCAGAUCCGGGGCUGGUCUCCUGUAUUGCUUAUGCAUACGCCAUUUGGCUCUAAGCCACCUUUGUUAGAAAACCCUUAAGAAGCCCCAGGAGGCAGGGAUGAGCAAAAGCUCUUCCUCAACAGAUUCCGCUGUGUCAUUACUCUGAGAAAUGCCCAUGAUGCUCAGAUUCCGGUGCUGAACUGCCCGUGAUGCUCUGAUUCCGGUGCUGAACUGCCCGUGAUGCUCAGAUUCCGGUUCUGAACUGCCCGUGAUGCUCUGAUUCCGGUGCUGAACUGCCUGUGAUGCUCUGAUUCCGGUGCUGAACUGCCCGUGAUGCUCUGAUUCCGGUGCUGAAUUAGAUAAAGGGGCCCUGGUGGUAUCAUGUAACUAUUUUUCUAUUUCCUUGUGACUAUUUACUUUCUAUUUCCCUUAGCUCUUUCCCUGUUAACAAUAAAUCUCUU